rnacentral:lncRNA from 1 species
UACGUAUAAUACGUAUUUGGAUGCAGCGUGUAAUGGGGGUCAGAUAGAUGUUGCUUUCGAUAUCAUGUCUGAGAUGCACGCUAAGAGUAUUUUGCCUAACCAGGUAACGUAUAGUACUGUGAUUCGCGGGUGUGCAAAGGCGGGGAGGUUAGACAGAGCGUUGAGUUUGUUUAAUGAGAUGAAGUGUGCGGGGAUAACGUUGGACAGGGUUUCGUAUAAUACUUUACUCGCUAUAUAUGCAAGCUUGGGAAGAUUUGAGGAGGCUCUUAACGUUAGCA